rnacentral:rRNA from 1 species
UACAGGCUUAACACAUGCAAGUCGAGGGGCAGCAUGGUCUUAGCUUGCUAAGGCCGAUGGCGACCGGCGCACGGGUGAGUAACACGUAUCCAACCUGCCGUCUACUCUUGGACAGCCUUCUGAAAGGAAGAUUAAUACAAGAUGGCAUCAUGAGUCCGCAUGUUCACAUGAUUAAAGGUAUUCCGGUAGACGAUGGGGAUGCGUUCCAUUAGAUAGUAGGCGGGGUAACGGCCCACCUAGUCUUCGAUGGAUAGGGGUUCUGAGAGGAAGGUCCCCCACAUUGGAACUGAGACACGGUCCAAACUCCUACGGGAGGCAGCAGUGAGGAAUAUUGGUCAAUGGGCGAGAGCCUGAACCAGCCAAGUAGCGUGAAGGAUGACUGCCCUAUGGGUUGUAAACUUCUUUUAUAAAGGAAUAAAGUCGGGUAUGGAUACCCGUUUGCAUGUACUUUAUGAAUAAGGAUCGGCUAACUCCGUGCCAGCAGCCGCGGUAAUACGGAGGAUCCGAGCGUUAUCCGGAUUUAUUGGGUUUAAAGGGAGCGUAGAUGGAUGUUUAAGUCAGUUGUGAAAGUUUGCGGCUCAACCGUAAAAUUGCAGUUGAUACUGGAUAUCUUGAGUGCAGUUGAGGCAGGCGGAAUUCGUGGUGUAGCGGUGAAAUGCUUAGAUAUCACGAAGAACUCCGAUUGCGAAGGCAGCCUGCUAAGCUGCAACUGACAUUGAGGCUCGAAAGUGUGGGUAUCAAACAGGAUUAGAUACCCUGGUAGUCUACACGGUAAACGAUGAAUACUCGCUGUUUGCGAUAUACUGCAAGCGGCCAAGCGAAAGCGUUAAGUAUUCCACCUGGGGAGUACGCCGGCAACGGUGAAACUCAAAGGAAUUGACGGGGGCCCGCACAAGCGGAGGAACAUGUGGUUUAAUUCGAUGAUACGCGAGGAACCUUACCCGGGCUUAAAUUGCAGAUGAAUUACGGUGAAAGCCGUAAGCCGCAAGGCAUCUGUGAAGGUGCUGCAUGGUUGUCGUCAGCUCGUGCCGUGAGGUGUCGGCUUAAGUGCCAUAACGAGCGCAACCCUUGUUGUCAGUUACUAACAGGUUCCGCUGAGGACUCUGACAAGACUGCCAUCGUAAGAUGUGAGGAAGGUGGGGAUGACGUCAAAUCAGCACGGCCCUUACGUCCGGGGCUACACACGUGUUACAAUGGGGGGUACAGAGGGCCGCUACCACGCGAGUGGAUGCCAAUCCCCAAAACCUCUCUCAGUUCGGACUGGAGUCUGCAACCCGACUCCACGAAGCUGGAUUCGCUAGUAAUCGCGCAUCAGCCACGGCGCGGUGAAUACGUUCCCGGGCCUUGUACACACCGCCCGUCAAGCCAUGGGAGCCGGGGGUACCUGAAGUGCGUAACCGCGAGGAGCGCCCUAGGGUAAAACUGGUGACUGGGGCUAAAU